rnacentral:rRNA from 1 species
AACGAACGCUGGCGGCAGGCUUAACACAUGCAAGUUGAACGGGAUUUGAUUGUAGCUUGCUAUAAUUAAUGAGAGUAGCGCACUGGUGAGUAACACGUGGGAACAUACCUUGAAGUGGGGGACAACAGUUGGAAACGACUGCUAAUACCGCAUAAUCCCUGAGGGGGAAAGAUUUAUUGCUUUAAGAUUGGCCCGCGGAAGAUUAGGUAGUUGGUGGGGUAAAGGCCUACCAAGCCGACGAUCUAUAGCUGGUCUGAGAGGACGAACAGCCACAUUGGAACUGAGACACGGUCCAGACUCCUACGGGAGGCAGCAGUGAGGAAUAUUGGGCAAUGGAGGCAACUCUGACCCAGCCAUGCCGCGUGAGUGAUGAAGGCCCUCGGGUUGUAAACUUCUUUUAGCAGGGACGAAGAACGUGACGGUACCUGCAGAAAAAGCAACGGCUAACUACGUG